rnacentral:rRNA from 1 species
GACGAACGCUGGCGGCGUGCUUAACACAUGCGAGUCGAACGCUGAAGCUCAGCUUUUGUUGGGUGGAUGAGUGGCGAACGGGUGAGUAACACGUGAGUAACCUGCCCCCUUCUUUGGGAUAACGCCCGGAAACGGGUGCUAAUACUGGAUAUUCACUGGUCUUCGCAUGGGGGUUGGUGGAAAGGGUUUUUCUGGUGGGGGAUGGGCUCGCGGCCUAUCAGCUUGUUGGUGGGGUGAUGGCCUACCAAGGCUUUGACGGGUAGCCGGCCUGAGAGGGUGACCGGUCACAUUGGGACUGAGAUACGGCCCAGACUCCUACGGGAGGCAGCAGUGGGGACUAUUGCACAAUGGGCGCAAGCCUGAUGCAGCGUCGCCGCGUGAGGGAUGGAGGCCUUCGGGUUGUGAACCUCUUUCGCUCAUGGUCAAGCCGCAACAAUGGUUGUGGUGAGGGUAGUGGGUAAAGAAGCGCCGGCUAACUACGUG